GAUGUAACGCUGGCGGCGUGCCUAACACAUGCAAGUCGAGCGAAGGCGAUUUAGCGGAAGUUUCGGAUGGAAGUUAAAUUGACUGAGCGGCGGACGGGUGAGUAACGCGUGGGUAACCUGCCUCAUACAGGGGGAUAACAGUUAGAAAUGACUGCUAAUACCGCAUAAGCGCACAGCAUUGCAUGAUGCAGUGUGAAAAACUCCGGUGGUAUGAGAUGGACCCGCGUCUGAUUAGCUAGUUGGUGAGGUAAAGGCCCACCAAGGCGACGAUCAGUAGCCGACCUGAGAGGGUGAUCGGCCACAUUGGGACUGAGACACGGCCCAA
rnacentral:rRNA from 1 species